UACGGGGGGGGGCAAGCGUUGUUCGGAAUUACUGGGCGUAAAGGGCUCGUAGGCGGCCAACUAAGUCGGAUGUGAAAUCCCUAGGCUUAACCUGGGAACUGCAUCCGAUACUGGAUGGCUUGAAUCCGGGAGAGGGAUGCAGAAUUCCAGGUGUAGCGGUGAAAUGCGUAGAUAUCUGGAGGAAUACCGGUGGCGAAGGCGGCAUCCUGGACCGGCAUUGACGCUGAUGAGCGAAAGCUAGGGGGAGCAAACGGGG
rnacentral:rRNA from 1 species